rnacentral:lncRNA from 1 species
AACAGAAGUCCACAUCCCCGCUAAUUGAACAGCUGCCCUGCGCAAAUCUCCAAGCAAAAUUUCUUGGAACUGAUCUCUGUGAUGGCUUAAUCAGAUUCCCCCCAGACAGGACCUUCAGACGACUCUUUCACUUAACCAUACCAACUUAUACAGGAUUCCGUGCCCAAAAAUCGUCAACUGCAAGAUUAGCAUCUCCAUGGCUCACGGCAUCCUCAGGUUCUGGCAUGUAGAGGCUUGACAUAGAUACCUGAACAUUCAAAGACCAAUUAAAUAGUAUAGCUUCAAACAGAAAUGAACCAGAAAGGAGAAAAGCUGUCCAAUUUAAAAACAUAACCAGGACUCUUUUGGCUCGAUUAUUUCCCCCCUUCCCAGCCCAUAACAGGUAUCAAGUCUUUCAUGCACUAGGAGAGGGAAAAGACAUACCUUUGUGUCAAGAAGCAUCUCCCCAGCAUUAUCAUUAGAUAGGCAUGCACCAUGAGCCUUCAACCAUUCUGCACAUUCUUCAACUCCAUCUCUUUCCUUCUCAUCACUUGCUUCAGUUGUGGGCGAGACAUUACCGAAGCCCAGAACCUGAGAAAUGUAUGCGACGGGAAUAGUAGGACGAUAUGAACGAGACAUACACUUUACUGCUGCAUAUCGCAUCUUUUCAACAUAAAGAUCUGCAGUUCACCAAGUAUAAUGAACUCAUCGUGUUAGGUAAUAAGAAUGGACAAUAAGGAGAAGUGAAAUAAGCAUGAUGACUUGAAUUCUACCCACCCAUGAGAAGAGUACUAAGGUUGGGAGCUGUUUUGUAUAGCCUGAAAAACAGAACAUAAUUCCCUGAAGUCACUGCUGAACGAACUGCAAGAGCGUGUUUCACAGCAUCAUUUUUCCUAGCAUCAGCUGAUAAUCUGUGCAAUCAAUGUUACGUCAAAAACAUUCAAAACUCAUCUUGCAAAAUAAAAAUAAAACUAGUGAUAAACUUCUCUAGGCACACUAAUUAUGAACACUUCAGUACAAUUGUAUCCACUGCAUGAACAUGAUCUAAUCUGGAAGCAUACAGUCUAACAUGAUUUACAGUUGAUAAAAGCUCAUGCACAAUGCGGAUUCAAUCCAGUUUCUACUGUCAAAAUGAAUAUUUGACAUGACUAUACAGAAUAGCUCCAGCAGGAUGCAAGUACAUAGCGAAAACGAUAUUGUUUAGAAGUAUGUCGUACUUUGAAAUUAUGAAAGAUUUACAAUUCCAAAGUCUAAAAUAAGCAACAUCACCGACAGCUAAAUUGACCUAAGUUAACAGAAACCAAUAAGCCUUUCAGGCAAUGCUACUAGAGGGAGACACAGUAAAAUAAGAGCCAGCAAGAUUCAGCAGAUAGCUCCUCUCUGAGUAAGAAUGUAAAAAAGGGAGGGCUGAGCACUGUUGGAAGUAGGUGGUGUGUCUCUUGAUAAAGAUCCUAUGGGUACAGUUAAUCUGAGAACAGUAAUCGGAAAAAAGACAACUAAUCUGUGAACGACUAAUUCCAGAUUUAGCUAACAACCUUGACAUCACAGACAGGAGAUCUCUGUUAUUGUUAGAGUGCAGGAUUACACAGAGUAAAUUGUAUGCAGCAAACUCCAAAUGGCAUCCACUGAUUCCUUCAGCAUAAAGCGUUUUCAACUGGGAUUGGCACUGCAUAACCAGAUCAAGAAUGUCAAUCCAUGCAACAAAUAGUCACUCCAACAAAAUGAAGAAACAUGAAGUUUAAUCCAUGCUACACGAAGAAUGCUGCUUGGGCAGAAAUAGAAAUUAAACACAACUAAAAGUGCAUCUUAAACUCCACCACCGUGUCGUCUAUGCAUUAUAAGAGAGCUACAAAUGCAGACAAUAAAACCCCUUUUUUUUGGAACAAAAAAAUAAAACUAUCUUUCAAAAAACUUAAUUUAAAAAAAUUGGAUUGACAGAUAAUAACAAGUACGCAUAAUAAAUUAGUACAUAUAAGCCAUAGUACCACACUUAUUUUUCCACAUUAGGUUUCUCAUGUUGAUCAAGCAAGGCAUCUCCAAUUCUUGUUAUCCCUUAUUUAUCAGAAACAUAGCUUGUAACCCAUAAAUGUGAUUAUGCUGUGCAUGUAAAUUAGCAUCACAACAGACACAUCACUAAUUCGUAGCAGAAUAGGUUACACAACAAAUUGAAUGCCUACUGGUCUUAGGUAAUAGCCACCAUACAUUAAACAACAUACCAAAAUCUCCAGAUGCAUAAAAGAAUAACAGAAUUAGACUAGAAUAAACUAUUUAUGAAGCAUUCCAAACUAGAAGUUCUCAAGCUGGGUUAAUUCCAAAUUAAAAACAGACCUGAUUAAACUCUGGCAGAUCCCCAACUUCAAUUGCUAAACGAGCAUGAGUUUCAUAAACCUGAAAGAGGGGGUGAUGCCAUGAAUAUUGUAAAGAAAGUAGUCAUACUCAACAUCUCUACUCACCCAAAAUGACCGACUAACAAGAUUCCCAGCCAAGUUUGACAUUGAUAUGUUUGUAAGAAAUCCUGAGACACAUUCUUAACAAAAAAUUAUAUACCUUUACAGUUAACUCAUUGCGUAUAUGCUGUACAGUCAAGUCUUGCCGAAUGGAUUUUAACUGAUCGCACUUAUAAAGGUAAUUCUUUUCAGAAUUUUGCACCAUAAGCAGGGCUUUUUCCAAGACCUCUUCUGGUCUUACCUGCAAGAUUUUAUUAUUCAAGACAAGCAGCUCAAGUUAGUCUAAGCCAACAAUUCAAUCGUAAACGACCACAGGCACAGACAAAACAUUUACCGUGACAGGAUCAGGAGCCGAAGUAAGGCGCAGAUAACGUUUCUCAAUUUCCUGAGAGGUCCCUUUGACAGUAAGAGCAUCCCAGUCAAUAUCUUCAAC